rnacentral:rRNA from 1 species
UGGGGAAUAUUGCACAAUGGGCGCAAGCCUGAUGCAGCCAUGCCGCGUGUGUGAAGAAGGCCUUCGGGUUGUAAAGCACUUUCAGCGAGGAGGAAGGUGGUGAGCUUAAUACGCUCAUCAAUUGACGUUACUCGCAGAAGAAGCACCGGCUAACUCCGUGCCAGCAGCCGCGGUAAUACGGAGGGUGCAAGCGUUAAUCGGAAUUACUGGGCGUAAAGCGCACGCAGGCGGUUUGUUAAGUCAGAUGUGAAAUCCCCGGGCUCAACCUGGGAACUGCAUUUGAAACUGGCAAGCUAGAGUCUCGUAGAGGGGGGUAGAAUUCCAGGUGUAGCGGUGAAAUGCGUAGAGAUCUGGAGGAAUACCGGUGGCGAAGGCGGCCCCCUGGACGAAGACUGACGCUCAGGUGCGAAAGCGUGGGGCAGCAAACAGGAUUAGAUACCCUGGUAGUCCAGCGCUGUAAAACGAUGUCGAUUUGGAGGUUGUGCCCUUGAGGCGUGGCUUCCGGAGCUAACGCGUUAAAUCGACCGCCUGGGGAGUACGGCCGCAAGGUU